rnacentral:tRNA from 1 species
GGCCUGCUAGCUCAACUGAAUAGAGCACUUGACUUCGGAUCAAGAGGUUGUAGGUUUGAACCCUACGCAGGUCA